rnacentral:lncRNA from 1 species
CCCUAGACCUCAUUUAUGCCAUGGAUAUCAAUGUGGCCUUUAUCCGUGAACCAGGAAGCUUGGGGUUGCCUUAAUCAGCAGGAACCAGCCACACUCACCUGCAUUCUGCCUCUUAACUUCCAUUAUCAUCUGCCUCUGGAUCCCUCAGAUCCAGUUUUCUUUCCUAGGGCUUUGAUCUGAAGCUUGGAAUUGAGUCUAGGACAAAAACAUGUCUCAGAGGAGUUGCUUGGACUCCUUAUCAUAAGUUAAAUGCUAAGGUGAAAGUGUGGAACUGAGUCCUCCUCCAAUAAAGGAGAGGAAAGAAUGUCUUGUGACAUACCCAGCUAACUGGUGGCUAUAGUUAUGUUGCUAGGAUUUGGGUGCAUGCUGCUUGGCUUUGGUUAGCUCCCUUUGUCUUACUUUCCCACAAAGGAAAUCUUCCGGUGAUGGGCACCCUAUUUAUUCCCAUCACUUGGCAGGAUUUGCAGGAUAAUUGCUCAAAACUAUAAUAUUGAUCCAGAUUUUUACAUUACCCAUCCCUCUUGUUCUUUCUGACCUGAAGCCAGAGAUUGCUGGUUGCUUCACAAGAACAUGCAGGAUUAGUCUAAAAUGUAAGCAAAAACUUCAAAACAACUAGUGAUUUUAGAAUUUAAUAACAAAUGUAUAAGCUUUGAAAUAUAGUUUUCUCUCUGCAGUCCUCAUUUUUGUUAAAAAUUAAAAAAAUCUACUUAAUAAUCUAAGAACAUUUAAUGAAGACAUUUAGAUACAUAAACAGUAUGCAUUGUGGUAAAGGACAUGGCAUCACUAGUCACCUUGCCUGGGUUCAAAUCCCAGCCCAACAACUUAUGGCUGUGUCAUUGGCUGGGUUACAUAACAUUUCUGUGACUGACUUUCCUCAUCUUUAAAGUAGGGAGAGUUAUAUAACUCCUUCAUGGGUGUUAGUAGAAGAUUACAUGAGAUUAUAUAGUUUCAGUGCUUAGAACACUGUUUAGCACACAUUGUCAUAUACAGUUGACUCAAACAAUGUGGCAGUUAGGGGCACUGACCCCCUGUGCAGUCAAAAGUCUGUAUAUAACUUUUGACUCCUCAAAAAGUUAACCAUGCUGUGUAUGGUAUCUCAUACUAAUUCUAGCACUUUGGGAGGCUGAGGCAGUAGAAUUGCUUGAUCUCAGUUUGAGACCAGCCUGGACAACAUAGUGAGACCUCAUCUCUACAAAAAAUAAAAAAAUUAGCCAGGAGUGGUGGUCUGCACCUGUAGUCCCAGCUACUCAGGAGGCUAAGGUGGGAGGAUUGCUUGAUCCCAGGAAUUCAAGGCUGCAGUGAGCUGAGAUUGCACCACUGCACUCCAGCCUAGGUGCCAGAGUGAGACUCUGUCUUAAAAACAAACAAACAAACAAACAAAAAACAAAAACAGAAAACUUAGCCACUAGUAGCCUGCUGUUGACUGGAAGUCUUACUGGUAACAUAAAAGUAAAUUAACACAUAUUUUCAUGUUAUUUGAAUUAUAUGCUGUAUUAUUACCAUAAAGGAAGCUAGAGAAAAGAAGAUGUUAUUAAGAAAAUCAUAAGAAAGAGAAAAUCCAUUUACUAUCGUAAAAGUCUUCAUCCUCGUUGUUUUCAUAUUGAGUAAGCUGAGGAGGGGGAAGAAGAGGAGGGUUUGCUCUUGCUGUCUUAAGGGUGGCAGAGGAAAAAUAAUCCAGGUAUAAGUGAACCCACACAGUUCAAACCCAUGUUGUUCAAGGAUCAAUUGUAUUAUAGUAUUAGCUAUUAUUGUUUUAUUAUGUUUUUAUACAAACAAUGUCUGAAAUUACUGAAGACUUUUCUGUUUUCUUACCAUGUCUUCUUGUGUAUCAAUCUGAGCAAGUUCUGCUUUCUGCAAACUACAAAAUAUUUUACUGGCUGUCCAAUUUCUGGUAUCAU